rnacentral:rRNA from 1 species
AUUGAACGCUGGCGGCAGGCCUAACACAUGCAAGUCGAACGAGUGGCGGACGGGUGAGUAAUGACUGGGAAACUGCCUGAUGGUGGGGGAUAACUACUGGUAACGGUAGCUAAUACCGCAUACCAUCGGAUGUGCCCAGAUGGGAUUAGCUAGUAGGUGGGGUAAAGGCUCACCUAGGCGACGAGCCCUAGCUGGUCUGAGAGGAUGACCAGCGACACGGGACCUGAGCCACGGUCAAGACUCCUACGGGAGGGAGCAGUGGGGAAUAUUGCACAAUGGGCGCAAGCCUGAUGCAGCCAUGCAGCGUGUAUGAAGAAGGCCUUCGGGUUGUAAAGUACUUUCAGCGGGGAGGCGUUACCCGCAGAAGAAGCACCGGCUAACUCCGUGCCAGCAGCCGCGGUAAUUC